CCUACGGGAGGCAGCAGUGAGGAAUUUUCCGCAAUGGGCGAAAGCCUGACGGAGCAAUACCGCGUGAGGGAUGAAGGAUUUUGGUCUGUAAACCUCUUUUCUCAAGAAAGAAGUUCUGACGGUACUUGAGGAAUAAGCAUCGGCUAACUCCGUGCCAGCAGCCGCGGUAAUACGGGGGAUGCAAGCGUUAUCCGGAAUGAUUGGGCGUAAAGCGCCUGUAGGUUGUUUAUUAAGUCCGUUGUUAAAGCCUAGGGCUUAACCCUAGAAAAGCAAUGGAAACUAGUAGACUAGAGUAUGGCAGGGGUAGAGGGAAUUUCUAGUGUAGCGGUGAAAUGCGUAGAUAUUAGAAAGAACACCGGUGGCGAAAGCGCUCUACUGGACCAUUACUGACACUCAGAGGCGAAAGCUAGGGUAGCAAAAGGGAUUAGAUACCCCUGUAGUCCUAGCCGUAAACGAUGGAUACUAGAUGUUGUGCAUUAUGUACAGUAUCGUAGCUAACGCGUUAAGUAUCCCGCCUGGGGAGUACGCUCGCAAGGGUGAAACUUAAAGGAAUUGACCGGNNGAGANGCGACGACGACACGAGGGAGAGG
rnacentral:rRNA from 1 species